rnacentral:rRNA from 1 species
GACGUAGGGUCCAAGCGUUGUCCGGAUUUACUGGGCGUAAAGAGCGCGUAGGCGGCUCGUUAAGUGUGAAGUGAAAUCUCUAGGGCUCAACCCAGAAACUGCUUUACGUACUGGCGAGCUGGAGUGAUGAAGAGGUUUGUGGAAUUCCUGGUGUAGCGGUGAAAUGCGUUGAUACCAGGAGGAACACCCAUGGCGAAGGCAGCAAACUGGUCAUCAACUGACGCUGAGGCGCGAAAGCGUGGGUAGCAAACAGG